GGGAACUUUCAUUUAUAUCAUUUGAAUUGAAACGAUUACAUGGAUAAAAACAAGAACGACAUAACUAUUACUGGUAAAAUUUUCUAAGUCUUCCAGCAUGCCAUGUAUUCUUUACCUCCGAACCGUCCAUUGCUCGAAGCCGGUAGGUUCCUGGCUUCGGCACUCCUACCACCUCAUAAGGCCCCUCCCAGUUGGGCAUUAACUUGCCAGUGUUUUGGGGGGUUGAUGCCUCCGACUCCCGGAGGACCAAAUCUCCUAUUGCAAACCUCCUUAUCUUCACCUUCUGAUUAUAGUGUCGGGCUGUUCGCUGCUGAUAGAUCGCCAACCUCAUCACGGCGG
rnacentral:lncRNA from 1 species